rnacentral:rRNA from 1 species
GGGGAAUAUUGCACAAUGGGGGAAACCCUGAUGCAGCGACGCCGCGUGGAGGAAGAAGGUCUUCGGAUUGUAAACUCCUGUUGUUGAGGAAGAUAAUGACGGUACUCAACAAGGAAGUGACGGCUAACUACGUGCCAGCAGCCGCGGUAAAACGUAGGUCACAAGCGUUGUCCGGAAUUACUGGGUGUAAAGGGAGCGCAGGCGGGAAGACAAGUUGGAAGUGAAAUCUAUGGGCUCAACCCAUAAACUGCUUUCAAAACUGUUUUUCUUGAGUAGUGCAGAGGUAGGCGGAAUUCCCGGUGUAGCGGUGGAAUGCGUAGAUAUCGGGAGGAACACCAGUGGCGAAGGCGGCCUACUGGGCACCAACUGACGCUGAGGCUCGAAAGUGUGGGUAGCAAACAGGAUUAGAUACCCUGGUAGUCCACACCGUAAACGAUGAUUACUAGGUGUUGGAGGAUUGACCCCUUCAGUGCCGCAGUUAACACAAUAAGUAAUCCACCUGGGGAGUACGACCGCAAGGUUGAAACUCAAAGGAAUUGACGGGGGCCCGCACAAGCAGUGGAGUAUGUGGUUUAAUUCGACGCAACGCGAAGAACCUUACCAAGUCUUGACAUCCUGCGACGAUGCUGGAAACAGUAUUUUCCUUCGGGACACAGAGACAGGUGGUGCAUGGUUGUCGUCAGCUCGUGUCGUGAGAUGUUGGGUUAAGUCCCGCAACGAGCGCAACCCUUACUGUCAGUUACUACGCAAGAGGACUCUGGCAGGACUGCCGUUGACAAAACGGAGGAAGGUGGGGAUGACGUCAAAUCAUCAUGCCCUUUAUGACUUGGGCUACACACGUACUACAAUGGCGUUAAACAAAGAGAAGCAAGACCGCGAGGUGGAGCAAAACUCAGAAACAACGUCCCAGUUCGGACUGCAGGCUGCAACUCGCCUGCACGAAGUCGGAAUUGCUAGUAAUCGCAGAUCAGAAUGCUGCGGUGAAUACGUUCCCG